rnacentral:rRNA from 1 species
AAAUUGAAGAGUUUGAUCAUGGCUCAGAUUGAACGCUGGCGGCAGGCCUAACACAUGCAAGUCGAACGGUAACAGGAAACAGCUUGCUGCUUUGCUGACGAGUGGCGGACGGGUGAGUAAUGUCUGGGAAACUGCCUGAUGGAGGGGGAUAACUACUGGAAACGGUAGCUAAUACCGCAUAACGUCGCAAGACCAAAGAGGGGGACCUUCGGGCCUCUUG